GCUAGGCAUAGUGGCACGUGCCUGGAGUCUCAGCUACCUGGGAGACUGAGACGGGCUGAUUGCUUGAGCCCAGGAGUUCUGGGCUGUAGUGCAUUGUGUUGAUAAGAUGUCUGCACUAAGUUCGGAAUCAAUAUAGUUACCUCCCAGGAGCAGGGGACCACCAGGUUGCCUAAGGAGGGGUGAACCAGCCCAGGUUGGAAACAGAGCAGGUGCUGAUCAAUAGUGGGAUUAUGCCUGUGAAAAACCACUGCACUACAGCCUGGACAACAUGGUAAAACCCCAUCUCA
rnacentral:SRP_RNA from 1 species